rnacentral:rRNA from 1 species
AUACGAAGGGGGCUAGCGUUGUUCGGAAUUACUGGGCGUAAAGCGCGCGUAGGCGGAUUGGUCAGUUAGGGGUGAAAUCCCAGGGCUUAACCCUGGAACUGCCUCUAAUACUGCCAGUCUUGAGUUCGAGAGAGGUGAGUGGAAUUCCUAGUGUAGAGGUGAAAUUCGUAGAUAUUAGGAAGAACACCAGUGGCGAAGGCGGCUCACUGGCCCGAUACUGACGCUGAGGCGCGAAAGCGUGGGGAGCAAACAGGAUUAGAAACCCUAGUAGUCC